UACAGAGGUCCCAAGCGUUGUUCGGAUUCACUGGGCGUAAAGGGUGCGUAGGCGGUCGGGUAAGUCUGAUGUGAAAUCUCACAGCUUAACUGUGAAACUGCAUUGGAUACUAUCCGGCUCGAGGAAUGGAGGGGAGACUUGAAUACUUGGUGUAGCAGUGAAAUGCGUAGAUAUCAAGUGGAACACCAGUGGCGAAGGCGAGUCUCUGGACAUUUCCUGACGCUGAGGCACGAAAGCCAGGGGAGCAAACGGG
rnacentral:rRNA from 1 species